rnacentral:rRNA from 1 species
GUCUAAGGUCAUGCCACCUUGAACAAGCCCGAUCCUGUCUGAUCUCAGAAGCUAAGCAGGGUUGGGCCUGGUUAGUACUUGGAUGGGAGACCACCUAGGAAGACCAGGUGCUGUAGACA